GACUUACCGCUGCUGACGAAAUGAGUCCAGCAGACAAUGUCAGGCCCAUGGUUCGAGAGCGUGGCUGGCACAGAGCACAUCUUCCAGGCUCGGUAGUGGAUGAGACACCCUACUAGAUCACUGAGAACCUUCCAGUAGUUUUCUACUAGCACCUAAAAGAAGUGUGGUGACAACCUGUGCAUGAAACAGCUCAGGAAGAGCCUGUCUGCGAGAGUAAAAACUGACGCCCAAAGUACAGCAGAGAUGAAAGAUAGCAAGAAAUAAAAAGAGCUUCCAGCAGCAAAUCAGCUUUCGCAUGAUUUCUGUGAUAAAAUGAACCGAAAGGGAAUGAGGAACUACGGAUUCUUAACAACUUGGCUCAACAACAGAAAUAAUGGCUAAUCAAUUUAAAAGGAUUAUAGUUAAGCUCUCCUUUAGCAAAAAAGCCAAAUAUAUGAUAAAAUCUCCAAGCAAUUAUACUAUCCAGCUAACUUGCCGUUUGAUGGAUGGUCUCUCAAAUGCCUUAAUCUCCUCCCACAUCAUCACCCGCAGCCUUCCCAUUGGGCAGACGACCUACCAGCUACAGACUAACGGAGACAGCACAGUCCCAUCCUGUAUUUGAUUUCCUUUACACUGGGAGAAAUUGCAAAUGUCUGUUCCAUAGAAGAAUAGAAUCCAAGACAAUAUAAGGGUGAGAUGGAAACGUUUUGAUGGAUAAAAGGAGCGAAGCAUCAUUCAUAGCUGGGUCAAUGCUCCAUGGUUCCCAAGUUAGAUUGCUUCUUCCUGGAGGGAAGCUAUCCCCUUGGAAAUACCACACCAGUAUUGUAGAGUAGAAAAGUGAUAACGACAUGUAUUUGCCCUAAAAUAGGCAUGCAUUGCACUUUAUAUGUUCUCUCAUUUGUUCUGGAUACUAUUAUUCUUGUGAAUGGAGGGCAGCUAUCAGCUAAGGACUUGGACUCUGGAGCCAGUCACUUGGUUUUGAAUUCAUGCUCUGCCGCUUACCCCCUCUGUGAACUUUUGUGUUCUAUAAAAGAGGGACAAUAAUGUUGCCUGCUUCAAUCAGGUGGUUGUGUGGAUUAAGUAGAGCAAUAUACAUAAGGCAUAUAAAAAACUGGGCACAGUAAGUCCUACAUAACUUGUUAUUAUUGCCCAUUAUUAUUAUUAUUAUCUUCCUUUUACAGAUAGAUAAACUGGACUAAGUAACUUAAUCUAGAUACCAUGUUAAUCAGUAGCAAAGCCAAGAUUCAAACUCAGCUCUUUCUUGGUUCAAAGUGUAUGU
rnacentral:lncRNA from 10 species